CACGUAGGGGGCAAGCGUUGUCCGGAAUCAUUGGGCGUAAAGCGCGCGUAGGCGGCCCGGUAAGUCCGUUGUAAAAGUCAAAGGCUCAACCUUUGAAAGCCGAUGGAUACUGCCGGGCUAGAAUCCGGAAGAGGCGAGUGGAAUUCCUGGUGUAGCGGUGGAAUGCGCAGAUAUCAGGAGGAACACCAACAGCGAAGGCAGCUCGCUGGGACGGUAUUGACGCUGAGGCGCGAAAGCGUGGGGAGCAAACAGG
rnacentral:rRNA from 1 species